rnacentral:rRNA from 1 species
ACGGCGCACGGGUGCGUAACACGUGGGUAAUCUGCCCUUCGAAGGGGAAUAACUCGCCGAAAGGCGAGCUAAUUCCGCAUAACAUUCCGAGAACCUUGGUUUUUGGAUUCAAAGGCGUAAGUCGUCGGAGGAGGAGCCCGCGCACGAUUAGCUAGUUGGUAGGGUAACGGCCUACCAAGGCUAUGAUCGUUAGCUGGUCUGAGAGGAUGGCCAGCCACACUGGAACUGAGACACGGUCCAGACUCCUACGGGAGGCAGCAGUGGGGAAUCUUGCACAAUGGGCGAAAGCCUGAUGCAGCGACGCCGCGUGGGGGAUGAAGCUUCUCGGAGUGUAAACCCCUUUCGACCCGGACGAAUGCCCCGCAAGGGGACUGACGGUACGGGUAUAAGAAGCCCCGGCUAACUACGUGCCAGCAGCCGCGGUAAGACGUAGGGGGCCAGCGUUGCUCGGAAUUACUGGGUGUAAAGGGUUCGUAGGCGGUGUGGCAAGUCGGGAGUGAAAUCUCUGGGCUCAACCCAGAGUCUGCUUCCGA